ACGGGGGAUGCAAGCGUUAUCCGGAUUUAUUGGGUUUAAAGGGUGCGUAGGCGGUUUGAUAAGUCAGCGGUGAAAUAUUUCAGCUUAACUGAAAGGGUGCCGUUGAUACUGUCAGGCUUGAAUAUGGUUGAUGUGGGUGGAAUGUGUGGUGUAGAGGUGAAAUGCUUAGAUAUCACGCGGAACACCGGUUGCGAAGGCAACUUACAGGCCCUAUAUUGACGCUGAUGCGCGAGAGUGUGGGGAUCAAACAG
rnacentral:rRNA from 1 species